AACGAACGCUGGCGGCAGGCCUAACACAUGCAAGUCGAGCGCGCCCUUCGGGGUGAGCGGCGGACGGGUGAGUAACGCGUGGGAACGUGCCCUUUUCUACGGCAUAGACUCGGGAAACUGAGAGUAAUACCGUAUACGCCCUCUGGGGGAAAGAUUUAUCGGAAAAGGAUCGGCCCGCGUUGGAUUAGGUAGUUGGUGGGGUAAUGGCCUACCAAGCCGACGAUCCAUAGCUGGUUUGAGAGGAUGAUCAGCCACACUGGGACUGAGACACGGCCCAGACUCCUACGGGAGGCAGCAGUGGGGAAUCUUAGACAAUGGGGGCAACCCUGAUCUAGCCAUGCCGCGUGAGUGAUGAAGGCCUUAGGGUUGUAAAGCUCUUUCAGCUGGGAAGAUAAUGACGGUACCAGCAGAAGAAGCCCCGGCUAACUCCGUG
rnacentral:rRNA from 1 species